rnacentral:rRNA from 1 species
UGGGGAAUAUUGGACAAUGGGCGCAAGCCUGAUCCAGCCAUGCCGCGUGAGUGACGAAGGUCUUCGGAUUGUAAAGCUCUUUUUGGCGGGGACGAUAAUGACGGUACCCGCAGAAUAAGCCCCGGCUAACUUCGUGCCAGCAGCCGCGGUAAUACGAAGGGGGCUAGCGUUGUUCGGAAUUACUGGGCGUAAAGCGCACGUAGGCGGAUUGUUAAGUCAGAGGUGAAAUCCCGGAGCUCAACUUCGGAACUGCCUUUGAUACUGGCAAUCUAGAGUCCGGAAGAGGUUAGUGGAAUUCCCAGUGUAGAGGUGAAAUUCGUAGAUAUUGGGAAGAACACCAGUGGCGAAGGCGGCUAACUGGUCCGGUACUGACGCUGAGGUGCGAAAGCGUGGGGAGCAAACAGGAUUAGAUACCCUCGUAGUCCCUGAGCGGGCUGGCAAGGCGCAU